GACAGAGGGUGCAAACGUUGCUCGGAAUCACUGGGCGUAAAGGGCGUGUAGGCGGGAAUGUAAGUCGGGCGUGAAAUCCCUAGGCUCAACCUAGGAACUGCACUCGAACUGCGUUUCUUGAGUGCCGGAGAGGAAAGCGGAAUUCCCGGUGUAGAGGUGAAAUUCGUAGAUAUCGGGAGGAACACCAGUGGCGAAGGCGGCUUCCUGGACAUUUACUGACGCUGAGACGCGAAAGCGUGGGGAGCAAACAGG
rnacentral:rRNA from 1 species